rnacentral:snoRNA from 1 species
UUGACGCCUGUGACCAGCACUUGCCUCGUCUAGUCGCUGAUCACGAUGGGAUGAUGCAACAUACUUAAUAUGUUGUGUUACCAUGGCGUCAUAGAUUAAAGCAACUUACGUUGCACUUUGUAUAUUCCAUGGCUGUUUGUAGCCCGUUGGGCUUUGACCAUUCAGACAGACCAUACAAUGGACAAUC